UUCGAUUUUGAAAGGGAAACGAUUGAAGUCAGUCGUACCGACGAGAAAUCAACCUUUUGAGCGUGAUCUUGUGGGCGUGAAGUGUCUUUGCGUUUUCAAUGUUUGCGUUUCUUGGGCGUAUUUUUUCGUAUGGUAGGUUAACAUCAAUUUUAGUGGUCAUAAAAUGACUGGAGGAAUGUAGCUUCGAUUUAUCGUAGUGUUAUAGCCUCUUGUAGAUAUAAUCACCGAGAUUGAGGAUUGCAACGAAUGCCUUUGGCUUUCUGUCUGAUCUCUGGUUGCUGCUUUGGUGCCGAAAGCUUGCUUACGGUUAUCGAGGUUGAUGGCCAAAAGGUUAGAACGGAUUUAAUUCGUUAAGGAUGUUGACGUAA
rnacentral:rRNA from 1 species